CAGUACCGCGGUAAUACGUAGGUGGCAAGCGUUGUCCGGAAUUAUUGGGCGUAAAGGGCUCGCAGGCGGUUUCUUAAGUCUGAUGUGAAAGCCCCCGGCUCAACCGGGGAGGGUCAUUGGAAACUGGGAAACUUGAGUGCAGAAGAGGAGAGUGGAUUUCCACGUGUAGCGGUGAAAUGCGUAGAGAUGUGGAGGAACACCAGUGGCGAAGGCGACUCUCUGGUCUGUAACUGACGCUCAUGCACGAAAGCGUGGGGAGCAAACAGGAUUAGAGACCCCAGUAGUCCCUGUCUCUUAUACC
rnacentral:rRNA from 1 species